AGUGGGAGCCAGGCUGGAGUCCGCUGGUGGAAGACAGGACACAGGCUGGAAAGGUAAUUUUGUGGUUUCUGCCUCUGGCAGGAAAACCCAACACGAUGACUGCCCCUCGCAGGCCACAGUCAGCCCGGCCCCAGGAGAGAGACCCGUGGAGCCCUAUGUCUCAGCAGGCAAGGUAGGGGGACGGGGCAGGGGCAGGGAGGUCCCCGAGUGCUGGCCAGGGGAGGAAUCUGCAGUGGUUGCCGGCUAAGGAGGGUCUGCCCUGGCCCCUGGGGCAUGGAGGCCCCACAGCCAGGCCCCACCCCCAGCUCCUGGGACCUGCUGGCCUUUUAGGAGACGGGGGAGGCUGGGCCUGACCUCUCUGCAGGUGGUGUCACUGCAGGGCCACACUGCACUGUGCUGGUUGUUGUCCAGGGUGGGCAGAUAGAGGGAUGUGGACGGUGGGAGCCAGGGGAAGGGCAGAAGGGGACACUGGGCCACCCUGGAGAAGCCAGGUCAGGGCUGGCCCAGCAGGAUGGGGGCUCUCUGCCUCUAUGGCCAGCAUUCCCAGCUGAGUCCCCAACUCUGCAGCCAGGAAGCCCCGUAGUGUGAAGGAUGGGGACAUCGCGAUGCCCUGGCCCUGAGCCCACCAGGUGGCCCCAGGGCCCCACCCUGCCUGGCUCUUCCUGCAUGGGUCUGGGGUGAUGGGGGCUCAUCUGAGGCCCAGUGCUGCCCACCUCGAAUCCCCAAAUCCCAAAUUGGAUUAGUUGUGUUUAGAAAGCAGCAAAGCUGCUAUAUUUGAGCAAAGGCUCAGCAGAUUACCCUGGGCCAAGAGGGUGUCUGCCUGUGUGAGGGGGAUUUGAGGAGGAAAAACUGCACUAAACAAGUGUUCAUUGAAAAGAAACUUGGGGGAUCAUCUGAGUCAGCCGGGCCCUCCACCUGCCCCAUAACACCUUCUCCAGCAUGGGCUCCUGCUGCUGCUGGGACAACCAAGCAGGAGUGGACGGGGUCAGGCCACAGGCCACUGGGCCCAAGGCCAGGAAGGGGCGCCCAGGACUGCCCAUGGGAGAAGGGCGUGGUGCCGACACGAGGUCACCUGGAGUCCCUGGGACUGGCCCUCCACCUCGUGACUCAGUCGCCACCCGGUGGCCCUCUCAGAAGCCCAGGGCCCAGCAUACAGGAAGCUCCAUGAGUGCUCAUCAUCACACACACUCCAGAGGCUGAGAACAUCUUGGAGGCCUGGGGCCUGCUGGCCAGACCCUGUCCUGGGCCCUGAACACAGGCUGGGCCUGGAAGGGACAGUGAGGGGGGCCAGAGCCCAUGCCUGCUCAGUGCAGCAAGCCCAGGCACCUGGUGGGUGGGCCCUGCAGCCAGGGAGGCCCCUGCACCCCACCCUUCCCAGCCCUGCCCUGGGUACCGUGUGCCACAUCUCAGAGCCCACCCAUGGGGCCCUCCCAACUCCAGCCAGGAGGGAGGAUAGAGAACUUUUAUUUCAGAAGAGUGCAAAUAAACAAAUCCUUCCUUCCCCCACCAUAAAGAGCCCGGCUGGCUUUAGGAGAGAAGGCAGAAUUUUUAGCCUCUCCUUUCCUCAAGGCACAGCAGGCCGAGCCUGUGUCACUCAUGGCCCCUUUUACAAGUAAAGAAUCCAGCUCUGGGCAGUCAGGUCUGCCCAGUGGAGGUGUUUGCCCUGGGGGGCCGGCUCACCUAUCCGUAGGACCUGGCUCCUAGGGGUCCAGCCAGUCCCUGGCCUCCUGUUGAUACGGAAAGGAAGUGCUGAGAAGGGAAAAGCGUGGUCCCUUUAAAUGAUACAGAGGAGGGACGGGAAGUGCUCCGUAGAGAAGGGCGUGGUCCCUGCCUAGGGCUCCACCCCCACGAACCUAGGUGAGGACAGGCAUUUCCUGCCCAAAUGUUGCAUUUCCCAAGACCACCCUGGCCUGCCAUGCCUCCAUCCUAUGCCUAUAAAAACCCAAGACCCUAGCAAGGCAGAGACAGAAGCCUCUGUGUGGGGAGAGGAACACACUGGUGGAAGAAGACAAGCUGCUGGACAUCCCGAGAAUGUUGCCUGACUCCAGGGGAAAACCAUCUCCCCUCUGGCUCCCCCAUCUGCUGAGAGCUACUUCCACUCAAUAAAACCUUGCACUCAUUCUCCAA
rnacentral:lncRNA from 1 species